GGGAGCUUGUAGCAUAGCAGCAGGGGAGAAUGAGUAAUUAAGAAAUAUCCACAGGUCGGUGAAUGCCAGAAAAGAGAAAAGCACACGGCUCAUAGUAGGCGGCCACGAGAUCAAGGCGGCUGUGCGUCUUCCAGCCCUCCCAGUCCUGCCUGCGUCCGGUGGCGGCUGUCCACGUCCGCUGCGAACCAUGCGCCCCCUGAGACUAAUGCCAGCUUCUGAACCCC